rnacentral:rRNA from 1 species
AUACGGAGGGUGCAAGCGUUGCUCGGAAUCACUGGGCGUAAAGCGCGCGCAGGCGGCUAUUUAAGUUGGAUGUGAAAGCCUAUGGCUCAACCAUAGAACUGCAUCCAAAACUAUUUAGCUAGAGUGUGGGAGAGGAAGAUGGAAUUAGUUGUGUAGGGGUAAAAUCCGUAGAGAUAACUAGGAAUACCAAAAGCGAAGGCAAUCUUCUGGAACACUACUGACGCUGAGGCGCGAAAGCGUGGGGAGCAAACAGGAUUAGAAACCCUAGUAGUCC